rnacentral:antisense_RNA from 1 species
UGUGGGAGCGAGCUUGCUCGCGAUAGCGGUGGAUCCGCUUGCGGCAAUAUUGAAUGUACCGCCGCCCUCGCGAGCAAGCUCGCUCCCACA